GGCAAUGGCGGCAGACUUGGUAGUGUGUAAGUCACCCAAGGAGAUUGAUUUUAAAGGCAUGAAGGGGGUCAUGGAGAACAGCUGAGGCUUGGCACUGUCAGAGGCCAAGAGAGAAGCCAGUUUGAAUCAGUCAGCUUGGAGAGGAGUUUGAGCCAGAACAGCUAAGUUGAACCAGCCAGGCAGACGUUGUUGGGGUUGGUCUGGUGCUGCUGUGUACUGUAUCCCAAGGUCUGAUUACCCCAAGAUGAGCUAAUUCCCACCUACCUACGCCAGCUUUUGUUGUGUAAACCUUGCCCCCACCCCCAAGCUAUCCCUGAUUGGUUAAUAAAGAUGCCUACAGCCUGGCCUGGGCAGAAGAGAAGUAGGUGAAGCUUCAGGAGGCAAAAAUGACAUUCAAGUCAAAACCACUCGGUAGCCGGUGUUGGUUAAACUUCAAGAGUUGUUUAUUUCAGGGCGUCUUUAAACGCAGCACAGUCUGGUAAAACUUCUUAGGAAGUCAGCUCAGUCCCAUGUGCACAGCAAAGCACACCUAAUCUCUCUGAGAAAGAAAACAAGCUGAAUACAGAUCAGACGUGGCUGCAUCCAAGUGCUUUAUAAGUGUAUGUGACACCUUCCGUACAGACAGAUUGACUGAGAAACAAGUUUAUGACAAUGGGUCCGGAGGAGGGUCCCAUCCAAGAAGUCUUCAGCCACACACACUGCCCAACAGUCAGCAGGCUAGAAAGUACACCCACUCCAGCCUUCUGGGCAGAAAGAAGACAGAACAGCCAAGCGUGCCUAACAUUCCAGGUUAGUGCAUGUCUGUGAGCACAGACACCCCCAUGCCCCUUACAGUGUUCUGACUUCCAUGUGUAUACCACGGCAUGCACACACCCAUAUUUCCACACCACAUAGGCACACACACACAUACACAGAUGGGAAAUUCUUAAAAAUGUGUUGUCGGGUAUCCACCAUAGAAGACUAUUCAGACAUGGUUUAAGCCAAUAAAAAGUCUUUAAUCCCAGUGUAGCACCGACCCUUUCUCAGGUUGAGUUUUUAAGGACAAAACACAGAUCCUAGGUUGACUUCCUUCAGUUGCCACGAACAGUUAGUCAGAAACAGAGCUACAGAAGCCAAAAAUCAAGGCUGUGUUCCAGUUAGUCCAACAAUGGUUGUCUACAAAUGGAAGGGCCAAGAAUCCUUGUUGAGUCUAUGAAGCUGAGUGUCUCAGCUGGUCUUCAAUGUAUGGCAGAAUCCUGAAGAAGGGCACUCACAAGAGAGGAAAAGAAAGAGAUGGUCCCAGGAGCCAGAUCUCUGAAUUCGAGGCCAGCCUGGUCUACAAAGUGAGUUCCAAGACAGCCAGGGCUAUACAGAGAAACCCUGUCUCGGAAAAGAAAAGAAAAGAAAAGAGAA
rnacentral:lncRNA from 1 species